rnacentral:rRNA from 1 species
AUUGAACGCUGGCGGCAGGCCUAACACAUGCAAGUCGGGCGAGCCGCGGGCGGGAGAGUAAUGUAUGGGGAUCUGCGUGAUGGCGGGGGAUAACUACUGGAAACGGUAGCUAAUACCGCAUUCCCUGAUAUGAACACAUAGGGGAUUAGCGUGUAGGUGAGGUAACGGCUCACCUAGGCGACGCUCCCUAGCUGGUCUGAGAGGAUGAACAGCCACACUGGGACUGAGACACGGCCCAGACUCCUACGGGAGGCAGCAGUGGGGAAUAUUGCACAAUGGGCGCAAGCCUGAUGCAGCCAGGCCGCGUGUAUGAAGAAGGCCUUCGGGUUGUAAAGUACUUUCAGUCGGGAGGCGUUACCGACAGAAGAAGCACCGGCUAACUCCGUGCCAGCAGCCGCGGUAAUUC